rnacentral:rRNA from 1 species
CAGCAGCCGCGGUAAUUCCAGCUCCAAUAGCGUAUACUAAAGUUGUUGCGGUUAAAAAGCUCGUAGUUGGAUCUUGGAAUGUGUUCAAGCGGGUCAGCUUCUGGCUGUGCGCUGCUUGACGUGUUCUUCUAUUUGGUUUUGGUGCGGUGCGCUUAACUGCGUGUCGCUCCCGGCCGAAACGUUUACCUUGAAAAAAUUAGAGUGUUCAAAGCAGACCUGUUUGAGUCUGAAUAUUCGUGCAUGGAAUAAUGAAAUAUGAAUUCGGUUCUAUUUUGUUGGUUUUCGGAACUCGAGUUAAUGAUCAAGAGGGACAGACGGGGGCAUUCGUACUCUGCCGUUAGAGGUGCAAUUCUUGGAUCGGCGGAAGACGCGCAACUGCGAAAGCAUUUGCCAAGAAUGUUUUCUUUAAUCAAGAACGAUAGUCGGAGGUUCGAAGACGAUCAGAUACCGUCCUAGUUUCGACUGUAAACUAUGCCAGCUAACGAUCAGACAGAGUUCUCUACGACUUGUCUGGCAGUUUCCGGGAAACCAAAGCGUUUGGGUUCCGGGGGAAGUAUGGUUGCAAAGCUGAAACUUAAAGGAAUUGACGGAAGGGCACCACCAGGAGUGGAGCCUGCGGCUUAAUUUGACUCAACACGGGGAAACUCACCCGGCCCGGACACAGUGAGGAUUGACAGAUUGAGAGUUCUUUCUUGAUUCUGUGGGUGGUGGUGCAUGGCCGUUCUUAGUUGGUGGAGCGAUUUGUCUGGUUAAUUCCGAUAACGAACGAGACUCUGGCAUGUUAAAUAGUCGCGGAAGUGCGUAUGCACUUGCCGAAUUGACUUCUUAGAGGGACUAGUGAUUUUAAUUCACACGAGAUUGAGCAAUAACAGGUCUGUGAUGCCCAAGGCGAUCCGUUAAACUUGCAGAC